GAGAGCAAAGCGUCUCUGGGGUCUGCAGCAGCAGGUCUGAUGAACAAACAAGGGAGGGAGGGAGCCUGUACCCCCACCACUUCCUCAGGGGAGCUUGCCUCAAGUUUGCUACAGAGCAUCCGGACAGAAGCCACUGGUCAGCACUGACGUUCCACGAUGAGCCCAGAGGAUGUGAUGAUCAUCUGCCCAUUAUUUUUACUCUCGGACCCCCCACCUCCGGAGCUUGGGGGUCCCUGUGUGUCAGUGGGAACCGGGAGGAGCUGAGCAUGAGUGCUAGCUGCGUUUGCGAGAUUUCAGGGGUUUUGAGCUAAGCCAGCGGUGCUCCGCGUCGGCCCUCCUCCCUCCCCAGUCCCCGCCGCAUGUUCUUUUUCUUUGGGCGGUGGGUUGGGCAAUUAUGCUCUGCGGCGACCGCGACCGUAAGAUCUGAGUGCCAAGGCGCUCCGCCCCUCCGUGCUAAUCUAAAUGGAGAUAACGAAGAAAACAGCAUCUAGGAGGAAAGGCUGAAAUCCGCUCGAGGUACGACGGUAAUGGUUUCUAUUUCUAGCCCGAGACACGAGAGGCUAGCCAGGGAAGCUGUCGGCGGGCGCUACAGAGCCGCGGGAGGGCCCCGUUUAUUCCCCCAAAACCAGAGCCCGGAAAGCGCCCCCGCCCCGGCGCGUCCCGCCCGCGUCCCAGCCCGACUUCUGGUUUCCCGCCCUGUCCCGGCCUGGGCCCAGCCUAGCCCGCCCCCGAGCGGGCGUCUCCCUCCGGCUCCAGGGAGCGGAAAGGGUUGGGCCGGUGGGAGGAGCCCAAGGCCGGUGACGACGGACGCCGCGGGUCGAAGGGGCCGAAGAACUCGGCGGCGAAGGUGACCACGUCCUCCGGCUGGCGCAGCAGCAGGAAGAGCAGGAAGUCGGAGAUGAGCGCGUGGGCUUCGGGGUGCUGCCGUAGAUAGCUGGCGUGGCCGAGCCGGAGCUCCUCCUGGCGGGGGACAGAGCCAGAGCCUCAGCCGGACGGGAUCCCCGCGCCCCAGGAGCCCCCACCCACUCGCUCCAAGGAGAGCUAAGGGGCACUGGAGACUUCUAGCCCCUGUGGGUGUGCAUUUCAAUCAGGGGCAGAGAGAUCAGUAAUGAAUUUAAGGCCGAUGGGGGAAUGGGAACCCCAGGCUGGUGGAGCCUGCCCUCACCUUACGGUCCAGGAACUUCGAAUAGAGCUCCAUAUCCUCCUCCCACACCGGGGGCUUCUUCUCAAACACUGGGCGUGGCUCAAUCUCAUCUGGGUGGAGAACAAAGAAGGCUGGGCGUCCCCACCCCAGAACCUUCCCUGGAUACACAGCGGGAUCCCGAGAACAUCCAAACAGAAGGCUCAGGUGAAACCCCAGGAUUCUGCACACAUGGGCAGAGUUGCAGGAAGGGACUCCCAGUAAGAAAGAUCCUCCUCUUACUGCUUGGGGUCAGAGGCUGGAGGGCAGAUGUUCUCCAGCUGAUUCCAGGCUCCUGUCCCGCACACUCGGUCCAGCCCCCUGCAUCCUGGAAGGCCCAGGUUUCCCCACUCCCCUUCACAUUCCCUGGAUGCCCAAGGCCUGGGCUUCACUCACCCUCUUCCCUCAAGAUGGGCAUCUUGGUGAUGAUGCAGCAUCCUGGGGAGCCCACCUGUAUUCUCUUGGCCAGGUGCCUGGAGUGCAACACAACAUGCGAGAGUGAGAAUCUUCCCAGGCAGCCUG